AUGAGAUGUGAUGAUGAUUAUCCAUAAAUACUGCACUUUGAAUGAUGAUUACCACAUGCACUACCAUCUGAUCUCUU